GACAGAGGAUGCAAGCGUUAUCCGGAAUGAUUGGGCGUAAAGCGUCUGUAGGUGGCUUUUUAAGUCCGCCGUCAAAUCCCAGGGCUCAACCCUGGACAGGCGGUGGAAACUACCAAGCUGGAGUACGGUAGGGGCAGGAGGGAAUUUCCGGGUUGGAGCGGUGAAAUGACGUAGAGAUCGGAAAGAACACCAACGGCGAAAGCACUCUGCUGGGCCGACACUGACACUGAGAGACGAAAGCUAGGGGAGCGAAUGGG
rnacentral:rRNA from 1 species